CUGGGAGCCCGAUGAAAUGUACCCAUUUGCCUGUCUAUUUAGCCAAAAGUACUCUGUCUUGUCCACAGGGUAUUAUGAGACUUAGCAUGCCAU